CAAUGAAAAUGAGUCUUCCACGAUCUUGAAAGUUUAUCGUAAGGUAAAGGGAUGUAACUCAUUUUAUUUACGAUGAAAUCGUCAGUCCAAAUAAUUCAUAAACUUUUUUGAUUGGCUUAUUAAUAGGUCGUCAACUCAUUUGCAUAUCAUUAUAAAUUCAUAACUUCCAGUUCGCUCACAUGUGACCUCAAAGCGGGUUUCGUUAGAUCUCCCA
rnacentral:lncRNA from 1 species